rnacentral:rRNA from 1 species
UACGUAGGGGGCAAGCGUUGUCCGGAAUCAUUGGGCGUAAAGAGCGUGUAGGCGGCUCGAUAAGUCUGCUGUGAAAGUCCAGGGCUCAACCCUGGAAGGCCGGUGGAAACUGUCGGGCUAGAGUCCGGAAGAGGCGAGUGGAAUUCCCGGUGUAGCGGUGAAAUGCGCAGAUAUCGGGAGGAACACCAAUGGCGAAGGCAGCUCGCUGGGACGGUACUGACGCUGGGACGCGAAAGCGUGGGGAGCAAACAGG